CAAGGCGGUGGAGCAUGUGGUUUAAUCGAAGCAACGCGAAGUAACCUUACCGAGGUCUUGACAUCCCGAUGCUAUUUCUAGAGAUAGAAAGUUACUUCGGUACAUCGGUGACAGGUGGUGCAUGGUUGUCGUCAGCUCGUGUCGUGAGAUGUUGGGUUAAGUCCCGCAACGAGCGCAACCCCUAUUGUUAGUUGCCAUCAUUCAGUUGGGCACUCUAGCGAGACUGCCGGUAAUAAACCGGAGGAAGGUGGGAUGACGUCAAAUCAUCAUGCCCCUUAUGACCUGGGCUACACACGUGCUACAAUGGUUGGUACAACGAGUUGCGAGUCGGUGACGGCGAGCUAAUCUCUUAAAGCCAAUCUCAGUUCGGAUUGUAGGCUGCAACUCGCCUACAUGAAGUCGGAAUCGCUAGUAAUCGCGGAUCAGCACGCCGCGGUGAAUACGUUCCCGGGCCUU
rnacentral:rRNA from 1 species